GGGGGGGGGUUCCUGGUCACUGAGAAUGCAUUUGUUUCCCUCUUCAGGGCAUGGCAAGGUUUCCUCCCAGCCAGUCCACCUUGUCAGGUCCCUUCCUCCGCCACUUUCCUGCCGGUCGCCGUCCUCAGCCCAUGUCCUCCAAUCCCUUCUCUCCAGAACGGCUGUGUCUUGUCCCCGUCUCUCCUGUCCCCUUUUAUUCUGCCCUCUUCUCUCCUGCCCGUUUCUGUCCUACCUGUAUGAAUCCUCUCCCCAUUCUCUCCUACCCGCAUGCAUCCUCUCCCUAUUUCUCCUGUCCCCUUCUCCCCUGCCCCCUUUUCUCAUGCUCCCCUUCUCUCAUUCUCCUCUACGUCUUCUCCCCAUGUCUCCUGCCCCUUUCUCCAGGCAGUGAUGGAGAACUGUUGCGAGUUCCCCUACGAGCCCUCGCCUCCCCCAUGCCUCUUCCAGUCUCGCUUCUCCCUCCAGCUCAGCCAGCCAUGGCCCAUCACCCUCCCGCCUCUCCAGACCACAGCCUCCCGCAUCUCCUGGAAGGCCCCCCAUCCGGAGAGGGACACCACAUCUGGGAAGAGAAAAGCCAAAGUGAAGUGGUUGGCUCCAUCAUCCUUCUCCUUUAACUGCUCAAAAUGGGCACCCUCGGCUCCUACAGCAGCUGUUCCAGCCUCCGGGGAGGAGCCGAUGGACUGCACGCUGGACAAAAUCAGACUCAUCUAGAUGCAGGUCAGGAAGCAGCCCCAAGAAGAAGACGAGUCAAGAGAGCCGGCGAUGUCAAGAUCACUUCCUUUUCUGGGGCCCCCAUUCCCCCUCUUUCUUUUCCUUCUCUAUAUAUAUCAAUGGAGCUGUGCCAGCCUCCGGAGAGGAGCCGAUGGACUGCACACCAGCGCCGGACAAAAUCAGACGUGUCUAGAUGCAGGUCAAGAAGGCAAGGGCUUUGGAGGGCUGCUCCCCAUCGGGGCAGGGGGGGCAGGGAGCUGUGACCUCCACCCCGGUCCCCUUCCAGAGCAAAGCCCCAAGAAGAAGAAGAAUCAAGAGAGCCGGCGAUGUCAAGAUCACUUCCUUUCCUUUUCUGCCCCCCGUCCCCCCUUCUUUUCCCUCUGUAUUUAUAUUAAUGUUGCCCUGUUUGUAAAGGAAAUUAGAUUGUGUUUCUCUAACUUAAGCCCAACAGUCUGUUGCCUUUUUUCCAAGGGAGACAGGUGGGUGAGGAAGUGGGGUGGUAGGCGAGAGGGAGCCCACAAUCCCCCAGUGGUGGGCAGGGGGCGACCAGCUCUUGUGGGGAGGGGGAGAGGAAAGCGGGCAACCCAAGGGGCUGAAAAAACAGUCCUGGUCCAAGAGACAAUGAAAGGACCGGCCCUUCUUUAUUUACAGUCUGUUGCCUUUUUUCCAAGGGAGACAGGUGGGUGAGGAAGUGGGGUGGUAGGCGAGAGGGAGCCCACAAUCCCCCAGUGGUGGGCAGGGGGCGACCAGCUCUUGUGGGGAGGGGGAGAGGAAAGCGGGCAACCCAAGGGGCUGAAAAAACAGUCCUGGUCCAAGAGACAAUGAAAGGACCGGCCCUUCUUUAUUUAUUU
rnacentral:lncRNA from 1 species